GAUGAACGUUGGCUACAGGCUUAACACAUGCAAGUCGAGGGGCAGCAUUAGGUAGCAAUACUGAGAUGGCGACCGGCGCACGGGUGCGUAACGCGUAUCCAACUUUCCCGUUACUCUGGGAUAGCCUUCCGAAAGGGAGAUUAAUACCGGAUGGUGUUGAAAUUUCGCAUGUUUUUUCAACUAAAGAUUUAUCGGUAACGGAUAGGGAUGCGUGACAUUAGGUAGAUGGCGGGGUAACGGCCCACCAUGCCUACGAUGUCUAGGGGUUCUGAGAGGAAGGUCCCCCACACUGGAACUGAGACACGGUCCAGACUCCUACGGGAGGCAGCAGUGAGGAAUAUUGGUCAAUGGUCGGAAGACUGAACCAGCCAAGUAGCGUGAAGGAUGAAGGCUCUAUGGAUUGUAAGCUUCUUUUAUAUAGGAAUAAAACCUCCCACGUGUGGGAGCUUGUAUGUGCUAUAUGAAUAAGCAUCGGCUAACUCCGUGCCAGCCGCCGCAGUAAGAC
rnacentral:rRNA from 1 species